GACGUAGGGCGCGAGCGUUGUCCGGAUUUAUUGGGCGUAAAGAGCUCGUAGGCGGCUUGUCGCGUCGUCCGUGAAAACCUGCAGCUCAACUGCAGGCUUGCGGUCGAUACGGGCAGGCUAGAGUUCGGUAGGGGAGACUGGAAUUCCUGGUGUAGCGGUGAAAUGCGCAGAUAUCAGGAGGAACAUCGGUGGCGAAGGCGGGUCUCUGGGCCGAUACUGACGCUGGAGACGCGAAAGCGUGGGGAGCGAACAGG
rnacentral:rRNA from 1 species